UCAUAUAAAAUUGGGCAAAAUCAUUCAUGCUUUCAAGUAGAUAACAAUCAUACAAUCAAAAACUCUGGAGUUCAAAACCUUACUCAUAGGCUCAAUCACUAUUCUAGAUAUUCUAGAUAAACAUCCUGCUUAGCAUCGUAAUCACUAUCACAACAUCAUCAUGCAUUUGUUCACAUAACUUGUGAACCACCACCUGUAUAUCAGCAUAUUAUGCAAUCUCAACAUCAUUAAUAACAAGCAUCAUCAAGCAAUUAUCCAUCACACACAAAUAUCAAUAUCAAACCACUGCAUCAAAUAUAGUGUCCAACCAAGUUCAAAAUACAAAAACAAAAAAUAUAAAAUAAAUCUUGCUCUAUUGUAGAUAACAUUCAUUAGUAGACGCUAUCUGAUUUCCUCAGCCCAUGUUGUCAUCAGAGUCCUCCUCCUCUCUUUUUUCUACAUCUUCAAAAAUCAUCAUCCUCAUCAUCUUCCUCCAUAGCUGGAGUUGCAGCUGCUCCAACUCUGAUUCCUUCCUCUUAUUCCCCACAGUCUUGAUCCACUUUCCUGAUGAGAAGAC
rnacentral:lncRNA from 1 species